rnacentral:misc_RNA from 1 species
GGAACAUCCAGUAAUGGUGAGCUUCAUUGAUUUACGAGGCAAACCAUGGCACUACUUCUAUACACAACUCUUCUUCUUAUUCUGUUUCGAUACCCCUGCAAUGGUGCUGACCCUUUAGGGGAUUUAUGCAAUACAGACACCAAAACUAGCGACAACACCAAGAUAUCAAACAAUAUUGAUCACUUGCUGGCUGAACUAGUUUCUAGAGCUCCCUCACCUGGUUAUAUUGCGACCUCCUAUGGUGAAGGCCAAGAUAAAGUGUAUGGCCUAGCACAAUGCAGGGGUGAUGUUAGCACCAACGACUGCUCCGGUUGCCUUCAGGACGCAGCAAAGGAAAUCCGCCAACGCUGUCCGGACCAAGUUGAUGCAAGAAUUUGGUAUGAUUAUUGCUUUUUGAGGUAUAACGAUGAGAAUUUCAUUGGAAAACUUGACACUUCUUAUGCUAUUUUUUACUUCAAUGUUGAGAAUGUAACAGAUCCUGAAGAUUUUAACAAAAAGCUUGGAUCUUUGAUAGAUAAGAUCAGAUCACAAGCUGUUAUGCCUAAGAAUGAAGGGCUUGGCAAAGGUGAGAGCAAUUUGUCAUCUUUCCUUACAGUUUAUGCUUUAGUGCAAUGCACGAGGGACCUUGCUGUGAUAGAUUGUGCUCAGUGUUUAGCCAUUGCAGUUGGUAAUUUCCCUAACUUCUGCAACAAUAAGAAGGGGUGCAGGGCUCUGUAUAGCAACUGUUAUGUUCGAUAUGAGCUCUACCCUUUUUUCUUUCCCCUUGAUUCAAGCAAUUCCUCAUCACUAAUUGGUAAUUUAGUUGUAAAAGUAUAUCCAUAAAUUUUCUAAUACCAGCCUAGCCUGUUGUGCCAGAAAUAAUAUUCCAUCUGUAAGGGAAAAUAAAAAGGAAGGAAUGAAUUUUCAGAGGAUUUUCGCUAUAUCUGUCAAGAACCUUUUGUUUGUAUAUUUUGCAAUCUGCAGUCUUUCAAAAGCAGAAUGGAUUCAUGAAAAAAAUGAUUUCAGUGCACACAAAUUUUCAGCGAAAGAGCAGUUGCCAUUCCUCAUCAUGUCGAUGAUGUAUGAAUACAAUACAGCAAUAUGCUUUCUGACAUGGCUGUCAUUAUUGUACAAUCUAGUGGCUAUCCAUAGGCGUGGAGCUGAAACCCACUAGAUAAAACUGGCAAAUGAGCUUAUACUUGUGUAAUGAUGUCAAAUAGAUAGAACAUGGAAUGCAAAUCAGCCUUUAUCUUAGAUAUAUGGUUGAUAAAUGAAAUUGGAUCAGUGUUUUAAUAGCAAUUCCU